rnacentral:tRNA from 1 species
GCGCCUGUGGCGGAAUUGGCAGACGCGCUAGACUUAGGAUCUAGUUUCUCACGAAGUGCAGGUUCGAUUCCUGUCAGGCGCA